UGUUUAAUUGUUAUAGGCGGCCACCCCUUGCGCCAGAAAUCGGCGUGAAGUACACGAUGCUUGAUCAUGCUUUCGACAACGGUCACCGCGCCCGUUUUAUGGAGAACGGAGUGAUGCUCCCCCUAUUGCGGAUGAGGGGCCACACGAAGGCUGUGCAGAUGCAGUACGACGAGCGCUACACUCCGUAUUUUAGGAGAGCACGGAUGUUGGGUUCGUUCUUCAGUUCAAAAAGCAGCCGCCGACGCUCGUGCACUCGGCUCUUACGGCAUUGAUCGACCGGUGGCGCCCCGAGACGCACAGUUUUCAUCUCACUUGUGGUGAGAUGACAGUGACUCUCGAGGACUUCGGCAUGAUCACGGCCCUGCCCAUCGAGGGCCAUGCUUUGACUGGGCGAGUGGAGAGGGCCAACUGGCAGGAGAGGGUGAUCGCCCUGAUCGGCGACUGCCCUCCCAUGAAGGGGAACAGAACAUCCGGUGUGCGGCUCAAGUGGCUCCUGGAGAACCGGUCCGUUUGCCCGCAAGAUGCCGAUCAACGGAUCGUGGAGCAGUACGCGAGGGCCUAUUUGUGGUACCUUCUGACGGAGGUCGUCUUUCCAGACUGCUCAGGGGAUUGCGCCCUAUGGAUGUAUCUUGGAUUCCUGGAGGACUGGGAUGCGGGGUACAGCUGGGGGUCCGCCGUCCUAGCUGUAGCGCCCCGGAUGCAACUUUCCAUAUUCGUAACUCCGACUCUUGCCAUUUC